rnacentral:lncRNA from 1 species
AUGGCUUUGCACAGCUGGCAGAGUCAAGACAUACAAAAGCAGAUGCUGGAAGUAACACAAUCAUUUAAGGUGAAGCCACAAAAUCCUCUGCUACAUCUUAGACUCCAAAAAGGUACUGGGAUGUGCUGUGCCCCUGCUGUCACCCCAGGCAGAGGGGUCUAGACGGACAGCAGCAGCGUGACAUUCAGCAAAGGUAAAUGCUGUGUUCUGCCCCAGGACAGAGUAAUGCCAGACACAGGUACGGACAGGGAGGUGAGUGACCGGAGAGCAGCCCUGCAGAGAGGGAUCUGGGGGUGCUGGUUGACAGCAGGCUCCGCAUGAGCCAGCAGUGAGCCCUGGCCACCAAGAGGGCAAACCAAUUUUUGGGGGUGCAUUAAACACAGCGUAGCCAGCCGGUCACACGAGGGGAUUCUCCCACUGUGUUUAGUGCUGGUGAGGCCUUCCCCUGAAUAUUGUGUGCAGUUCCAGGCUCC